rnacentral:piRNA from 1 species
UCGCUGUGCAUUCAUCAUCAC